GGGAGCCGUAGGGGAGCCGUGGGCGCUGCCCCGCGGGGGGCCCUCGCCGCGGGUCUGUGUCAGAGGACGUGGGCUCGGAAACCUCCGUGGCCCACUCCCACCUGUCAGAACGAGAACGGAGGUUGCGCUUUGCACCCAUCACCGGAGGGGCAGGUUUGGGUCUCUGAUCUCCAGACUGUUUGCAAUGCCUGCGAGCUGGAGGUGGUGAGCUGCUCAGCUGGUUGCUAAUGAAGCAUGCUGUGGAGCCUACCACACCGCAGGAGGAUUUCAUAAGCUUGGCACCUGUUCCAGAUGAAUGGAGUUGAUGGCAUGGGCUGGAAAUGUGUCUAUCUUCAGCCCAGCUUGAAAUGUCUGAGGAUUAUCUCUGUAAAUUGUGGAUUCUCACAAGUGCAGUGAGCAAAGCUCUGCUGGGUCCAGGUGUCCUGCAGAUUUAGAGUAAAUCUCUACUUUCGGGCCAUGUAUUUGCUGCCAUGUACACCAGCCAAGGCCAAUAGCCCUUCUGAGGAGCCGAUCACCAUUCCCCUGUAAAGAAUCAGUGAAGCAGAAUUUAGGUCUUUUAAAACUCCAGAAAAAGCUUUUAUUCAUAAACAAGGAACAAGGUUUGUUCUAGGGAGAUUGCAGAACAUUCCCAAAGAGCUCUCACAGACAUCUGGUCAAGCUGCAACAGGUAUAAACCAUACUAAACUGAAUUAAUUUGUCAGGUAUAGCAGAUAUGGCUGUCCUUCCCUUUCUUUGUAUCUUUUUCCUUAACCUCACCAAAUGAUUGCCUGAUUCAAGCUGAAAUCUUCCAGACUGUUUGAUUUAAAAAAUUGUGGUUUGGGGUUUUUUUUUCUGGUUUAAUUUGAACCAAGGCCCCAACAAAUUGUUUCUCUUUUAUGCAGAAAUCACAUUUUGCCUUUAAAGUAUGCAGGGAUAGAUUCAUUAGGGAAUCAGUGUAGAACCACUUUCAGAGCUGAAGAGUGGUUGAUGAGCCUUGUCCGUGCAGGCCCAGUCACCCAGAGCUUGGGGCACUUAUUUGGGCAGGAAAUGCGGAGAUUCCAGCCACAUGAGCAGAGGUUUGAAGUAAGAUCCAACAUGCCUGGGAAGAUCAUCCUUACUCCUGAGCUGUGGCAGGUUUGGGGGAAAUCUUUCCUGGCCAUAUAGUUUCAUGUUGUAUCAGGUACUUCAGAUACUUCACUAUUCAUUGGAGCAAGAACAAUGACAAUAAUGUUAAUUAUUUUAAAUAAUUUAGUUGCUUAGAAAAUGAAUUUAUCUUAUUCCAAUGAUUCUGUUAAUCAUCUGUUAAACUCUGAUUGCAUAGAAGUCUCUCUUGCUGAUGUGAGACUAUGGUAUGGAUACCUUCUGCAGAACUGAGGAUCAUCACUGGGAAACAAAGUCACCCCAGUCUCAGUGUACAGUCAGUGGAGAGACAACCUUAGAACCCUUGCCAGGAGCCUAGGGCAACUGUACACCUAAUUUGGGUUUUUAAAAUUAGCUGUGGAGAAAUUCAGACCUUCGUGCAAGACAGUGGCAUUCUGCUCAGGCUCAUGGUGCUGCAAUGUGGUCUGCUGUCACUUCGAUGCUGACAAAAUGAUGCUGUAUCCAAACAUGCUGCAGUAGUGUCACAGCCUCACAUGUAAGUAUCAUGAGACCCCUGCUCACAAGUUCUUCCUGCUAAACACACUGAAAAAUGUUGCAUGCUAGAAGAAGGCAGGUUCAUUACUGAAAAGUUUAUUGCACCUUAAAGCCAUUCGCAGGAUGAGUUACUGGAGUUUAAUUCUUCGGCCCUUUGACGAAGCCCUGCAGGACCUUCAGCUGUCGUGAGUUCCCCAGCCAGGGAGCUUCCUGAGACUGAAAAAUAAACUGGCAAAGGUUUGGAGGUUUGCUAUGGAGCAGGACCAAGAAGUUUGAACUGAAAUCUCAGCUCAAACAGUCAAACUAAGCCUCUUGACUGUGCUAAAUAGGAAUCUUUUUUUUUUUUUUUUUUUUUUUUUGUGAGAUUUCUGGGUCCACUGCAGUCUGUUGCAACCAAGGAAGGAUGCCUGGAGGAGGAGAGAGAAGCUACCCAAAUUUUUUUACAAAACACAGGUAAUGGUUCUUUUCUGACUCGAGUUUGGGCCAAGGUGGGUUCUCGCAGGCCAGUUGACACCACAGGGAAGGUGUGCUCCAGGGGCACCGGGGAGAGAUGGUGGGUGCCCAUCCGAGCACGCUGCCCAGUGGGACCAGCAAAGCCACAAGCCUGUGUCCAUACCCUUGGUGGGGCCAAGUUACCCCACUAGUAAUGGCCCAUUCAAACCUGGGAGACCUCCUCUCCUCCCAGCUUGUCCUCCUGCCUCACAGCGAUUCCCACACCCCGCUAGCAUCUGCUUACCCAUCCUUUCCUGCCCAGGGGGGCCCUCGCCAGCCCCCCAGCCUUUCCCUUUGAAAGCCAGGUGCUCAUGGUGGCCGUGCCGCUCAUUCUUGCCGAGCCUCCCCUGCUCUUUGUUUUCGUUGGUGAACGCUGCUCACAUCUCCAUGAUUGAUUGUGUUUGAGUUUGAUUGUGGAGUGUCCUGGGAUGUUUGCAUGAGAGGUGCUACAUAAGCAUAAUUUGUGCUGUAUUUUCUUUGCCUAAUAGGAGCUUAAGCUUGGAGUUUAAGAUAGUUUUGGCCCUUUGCUGAGACACUGUCCGUCAGCCUCAGCGCUUUGAGCUUUGCAGCCUUCUCUAUUCACUGUCAGCUUGAAAAAAAAAUUGUGCUUCAUUCCCUUGUGUCAGUGAUGCCUUUGAAAUGCAGCCUGGGGCAGAGGCGUAGCAGCCUUCCCCUCACACUGGCCUAGAUCUUUGCUGCCUGUCUCUGAUGGGGAGGGAUGCUCUUCCUAUGAGUCCUGGUCUUGUCAUCGGGCUGGGCCAGAACCAAGGUUAAGUCUCGCUCCUGUGAGUGGAUGCUGCGUUAUUUACAGCAGAGAUGCUGAGUUGAGAGACAGAAGGGAGACGAUGGUAUCUCACCACCUGUGUGGCUGCCCAAACAAAUGGGAAAGGUCUUUCCCAGUCCUGAAACCCCAAGAAUUUUGGAAAAAGGUGUGGAAAUUAACCUGAGGGAAUUUGUACAGACUGAACCAUUGCUGGACCCAGCCUGAAAACCUCUGCAGGUCACACAUUUCCCCUCCAGCUCUCCUCAAAUGAAUAGGAAGGGUAUGAUCUGAGCUGCAGGGAAUUUUCAGCAUAUUUGGUGGUUAUAUCCAAAGAUCAAAAUAUUUUGGGAUGGGGGCAAAGCAUAAGAAAGAACCAAUUCAGUUCUCAGCAGCGCAAACCUUAUUAAUGCUACAAAUUAAUACCUACUGCUACAAAAUAUUUACAUUUCUUGUUCCACACAGCCAGAUUGCAGCAGAGCAGACUAAUGAUGGGUUUUGAUUUACAGCAUAGAACGAUCUUGUGAUGAGCAUGGACUCUGAGGAGCUGGGUUUCAUUUGUGGGCCAUAGGCAAGUCCCUUAACUUUUCUCUGUAUCCCCAUACCCUGAGCAAGAUACUGGAGAGGUUCUGUUCUCCUCCUUGCUAAAUUUCUUUCAGAGAUAAUUGUGAGGAUGCAGAGGGAUACGAUAAUGGUCUGAGGAGCUUAAAAAUAACCAGAGUUCAAAGAGGUAAAAUAGUUCCUCUUCCUACAAUACAAAUUAAACAGCCUAUUAGCAGAUGAAGUGGGGAUGAGAUUACACAUGAAAAAAAAUAUAAUUCAUGUGAUUAAGUGUACAUGCGCUUGGGCAUAAAAUGGUCUUAAUUAGUCAUGUUUAUCUAUAAUUACCUGACUUCCCUGAGCAGCUGUGGUGGCUGUGUGUGCAGUUCCUCACUGCAACAUUCCCCUUUUUGCGCACAGCAUAUAAUUCAUGCUUUCUGUGUUUGCCAGAGAAAAUCCUCACCCCCCAACACGUGCAUAUUUGAAUUAAUUUGAUUCUUGCUGUGUUGUCUUUCAGGCAUAGCUGCUGGGUAGGUUUUUCCCUGCAGGCUGAGUGGGCAGUGCUCUCCGAGCAGCACGGUUACUGGGAAGGAACUCCUGCCCAGUCCGAUUAACCUUUGUUGGCCAUGUACUAAAAGCGUUAUUUGUUGUUUCCAUUUAUUCCCUUUCUAUAAUGAUUAUCAAUCAUAGAUUAAACAUCAUGCAAAACUCUCAGUGAUGAUUUCCACGAAACCCAUUGCUGGGUGGCCCUUGAGUUACUGUACCAAAACAUAUCAAUUUUUUUUUUUUUAGACGAAGAAACUACUGUUUAUUGGAACUGAUCAAAUAUGGGAAGGAAAUGGUCUGUGCUUAUUAAUUCAAAUUCAGAAAUAUGAACCUUUCAAACUUUACUGGUACAUUUUUAGCUCAUAUGUUUGCAGGAGAGAAUCAGAGUCGUAUAUAUUCAGGUGUAAAAUUUGGAAGUGACUUUGUGUUGAUUAGCUGCAGGGACCACAGUUAAUAGUCCUGGUUUCUUGACUGGGUAACUGGUACAGCCAGUCACAUAACAUGAGCUGUGGCUAUUUCGGUCAAAUAUAUAAUUACAAAUAUUAAGUGUAAAACUAGAAAAUAUACAUACAUAAUAUUUAAUCUGUGCUUUAAUGGCUUGGUUAAUUAUGUAAGUGUUGGCUGGAGAUGUGAUUUGAAUUUGUCCUGACUAUUGACCAUUGAAAUGCUCUGUAGAUAGAAAAUAAUAGUUACAAAAGAUGUUCAAAGUGUAUGCUGAAUAGCCAAUGCACUCAAGAUUGUCACAGUCUUAAUCUGUAUGUUUAAUAUAACAAAUUAUUUUUUUGCAAA